rnacentral:lncRNA from 1 species
GAGCUGGGGCUGAGGGAUGGACUGAUGCUUUUAGGCUCAAACGUGGCUUUUAGACAGAUUUGUUCAUAGACCCUCUCAAGUGCCCUCUCCGAGCUGGUAGGCAUUCCAGCUCCUCCGUGCUUCCUCAGUUACACAAAGGACCUCAGCUGCUUCUCCCACUUGGCCAAGCAGGGAGGAAGAAGCUUAGACAGGGCUCUCUUUCCUUCUUGCCUUCAGAUGUUCUCUCCCAGGGGCUGGCUUCAGGAGGGAGCAUAGAAGGCAGGGAUGGCCGUUGGCCACGUCUUCCUUCUGCCUGAGCUUCCCCCCUACCACAGGCCCUUUCCUCAGGCAAGGUCUGGCCUCAGGUGGGCCGCAGGCGGGAAGAGCAGCCCUUGGCCAGAAGUCAAGCCCAGCCACGUGGAGCCUAGAGUGAGGGCCUGAGGUCUGGCUGCUUGCCCCCAUGCUGGGGCCAACAACUUCUCCAUCCUUUCUGCCUCUCAACGUCACUUGAAUCCUAGGGCCUGGGUUUUCAUGUUUUUGAAACAGAACCAUAAAGCAUAUGUGUUGGCUUG